rnacentral:misc_RNA from 1 species
UCCGGUUUAUCACCGGCAGUCCCCCUAGAGUGCCCAACUGAAUGAUGGCAACUAAGGACGAGGGUUGCGCUCGUUGCGGGACUUAACCCAACAUCUCACGACGCGAGCUGACGACAGCCGUGCAGCACCUGUCACCGGUCCAGCCGAACUGAAGGAAUCCAUCUCUGGAAACCGCGACCGGGAUGUCAAAAGCUGGUAAGGUUCUGCGCGUUGCAUCGAAUUAAUCCACAUAAUCCACCGCUUGUGCGGGUCCCCGUCAAUUCCUUUGAGUUUUAACCUUGCGGCCGUACUCCCCAGGCGGUCGACUUCACGCGUUAGCUUCGUUACUGAGAGUGUCAAACCCCCAACAACCAGUCGACAUCGUUUAGGGCGUGGACUAC